AGUGAACGCUGGCGGUAGGCCUAACACAUGCAAGUCGAACGGCAGCACAGUAAGAGCUUGCUCUUACGGGUGGCGAGUGGCGGACGGGUGAGGAAUACAUCGGAAUCUACUUUUUCGUGGGGGAUAACGUAGGGAAACUUACGCUAAUACCGCAUACGACCUACGGGUGAAAGCAGGGGAUCUUCGGACCUUGCGCGAUUGAAUGAGCCGAUGUCGGAUUAGCUAGUUGGCGGGGUAAAGGCCCACCAAGGCGACGAUCCGUAGCUGGUCUGAGAGGAUGAUCAGCAACACUGGAACAGAGACACGGUCCAGACUCAUACGGGAGGCAGCAGUGGGGAAGAUUGGACAAUGGGCGCAAGCCUGAUCCAGCCAUACCGCGUGGGUGAAGAAGGCCUUCGGGUUGUAAAGCCCUUUUGUUGGGAAAGAAAAGAAGCAGGUUAAUACCCCGCUGUUCUGACGGUACCCAAAGAAUAAGCACCGGCUAACUUCG
rnacentral:rRNA from 1 species